GUGUCAUUUUGUUUGGCUGGCUAAACCACUUUCUACUUCUCUUCAAUGCCAACUCCAAGUCCACUUCAGGCCAAAGAACAGGGGCAGCAAGAGAGUAAUCUGAAGAUACUCUAAUGCAAACAUGUAAAUCAGGAUAGCAGUGGCACAAAACAGGCAUGAAAAAAGAGGAAACUCAACACAAAAACAUCAAAGUAUAUGUUUUUUUAUCAACGUAACCUAGGAUAUCGAAAGAUCAUUCAAACAGCACCUCCAGAUCUUGUCCCAAUGAUUCUUGCAACUCAAAUUCAUAAGUAGCCCAUGG
rnacentral:misc_RNA from 1 species